CGCGUAGGCUGCGGGGUAAGUCGGGUGUGAAAUCUCAGAGCUCAACUCUGAAACUGCACUCGAUACUGCUCUGCUUGAGGACUGGAGAGGAGAUUGGAAUUCACGGUGUAGCAGUGAAAUGCGUAGAUAUCGUGAGGAAGACCAGUGGCGAAGGUGGAUCUCUGGACAGUUCCUGACGCUGAGGCGCGAAGGCCAGGGGAGCAAACG
rnacentral:rRNA from 1 species